UCUUCCUGCGACUUCGACGGAACCAGCUCCAGGCUGACAUCGCUACUGUAUUUACUCCUCUGCGGGGAAAACGGGAACAAAGAAAUCACAAAAGAUUAAUCAGAACGUAAUCUGAGUUAAAUCGCAUCCGGACGGUAUGCGCACUGAACGGUCUGUUGCUAGACAGUGAUUCAGAUGAUAAUCGCGAAUCGUCUUCGAUUGUCAUAACCGAACCCGACCGGCUACAGCUUCAAUGUGCAUCUUAACAUGAUUCAGAAAUACUGCACUCGUCUUCUACUUGUGCACGGACAAUGUUGUUCAAUCAUAAUAAUUCGCGUUUUCUUGUACGGUACGCACGGAGUUUCGCUACUCCGCUACUGAAUGUAAUUGACACUAAUUGGUCCCACGGCUAAUCCGUGCGCGCUGCGCUCAACUCCUCGAGACAGCAUCAGCAGUUGUGGUAUAUAGUAAGUUCGUAAUCGUAAUAUACUUGAAUUUCACACCGCAGUAAGGCAGACAGGUUUCAGUGACCCUGAGUGACACUUUUUCACGCUUUUGCUAGAUUAGAAUACCUACACUUUUCAACUCGUGCAAGCGAUCCUUAACCAUGAUUGCGUUCGUUUCGGACCUACUAACUAACACAGGAUAUAUCCGUCCAACGGAUCAAUCUUCCCGAAACCAACCGCGUUGUCUCACGUCACCUCGAUCAACAUCUAAUCUUAUCAAUCAAUUCAUUAAACAAAAACGAUAAGUGAUAAAUAAAACCACAUCGUUUAAGCACAUGACACUAAAAAGCAGCACUGAAACUCGGCACACAUUCUGCGAAAACUUGCGGUGAAUUUUUUUCGCCACUUGUACCGAUUCGGUUCGCUCUGUAAAGUGGUAAUGUUUGUUCACGACUGGCUUGUAUACAGUAAUAACAGAUAGUUAAGCUACUCGUACUCGUAUCCACCAGAGCGCAAUCAAUUCCAAACUCUGACGAUAUGACGGUGACCGCGGGAGAGAGAGACAUAUUAGCACGAAACUUCGCCGAUAUGCGAGCGUGUUGUUGCGACAUCGACUCAUACUAUAUAGAGGUAGCUGAGGCGACUGCGAGAAAAACUGUCCCAACCCGACGAAGGAGUCAUCGUCCGUGGAGUACUACGAUGUUCCAUCGAACUGAGGCUGGGCGAAUAGAGGCAUCUUUAGCGGUCAAGUUCAUCUACCUUCCGUAUUGAAAUCGUGGACUGAUAAGAUAGUUUCGGCUGAUGUCAAAUAAAUAUUAACGCUCGCGUGUGCUGGUAGUUUGCCGAUGGGCUUUGAUUUGGUCCAUAGACUAACGCAUUGGAGGAUUUCAGGGGUUCAAUACACUCUUGAUGAGAAAGACAGAAAACAAAACAAGACAGAAGUUAAUUAAAUUAUAGUUACAAGUCAAGCAAAGCCAAAGCGCUACCUAAACCACUGCUAAACAUCUAGAUAUAUUAGAAUUCAUAGGAACAAUAUUUGCCAAAUAAUUUAGGAAUCAUCGAAACGCUCACAAUUUCUACUUCAUCUAUUGGAUUCGAAAACGAACAGUUUAUAUUGGUGGCGAAUUUGUUAAAAAAUAGAGAGUUGUACUUAUCAACAUAUUAGAGAUAUGUAAUUCGAACUGUUAAGAUUUGUUUGCUUUCGCCAUUAAAGCUCAUUUUUCGUAGAUA